rnacentral:tRNA from 1 species
GGUUGUGUGGUCUAGUGGUUAUAUGACAUUUGAUUCUGAUAAUAUUUUCAAAGUAUCAUUUUACUUUACAAAGUAAGAACAUUCAAAGAACCCCGGUUCGAAUCCGGGCACGACCU